UGAGUAACACGUAUCCAACCUGCCGUCUACUCUUGGCCAGCCUUCUGAAAGGAAGAUUAAUCCAGGAUGGCAUCAUGAGUUCACAUGUCCGCAUGAUUAAAGGUAUUUUCCGGUAGACGAUGGGGAUGCGUUCCAUUAGAUAGUAGGCGGGGUAACGGCCCACCUAGUCUUCGAUGGAUAGGGGUUCUGAGAGGAAGGUCCCCCACAUUGGAACUGAGACACGGCCCAA
rnacentral:rRNA from 1 species